rnacentral:tRNA from 1 species
UGCCCGGUGGUGUAAUGGCAGCACAUCGGCCUUUGGAGCCGCUGGUGAAGGUUCGAAUCCUUCCCGGGCAGCCU